rnacentral:rRNA from 1 species
UACGAAGGGGGCUAGCGUUGCUCGGAAUCACUGGGCGUAAAGGGCGCGUAGGCGGCCUGAUCAGUCGGGGGUGAAAGCCUGUGGCUCAACCACAGAAUGGCCUCGAUACUGUCAGGCUUGAGACCGGAAGAGGUAAGUGGAACUGCGAGUGUAGAGGUGAAAUUCGUAGAUAUUCGCAAGAACACCAGUGGCGAAGGCGGCUUACUGGUCCGGAUCUGACGCUGAGGCGCGAAAGCGUGGGGAGCAAACAGG